UAGUCCACGCCCUAAACGAUGUUGACUCGAUAUUUGGACUUUAGUUUGAGUGUCUAAGGGAAACCGAUAAGUCAACCACCUGGGGAGUACGUUCGCAAGAAUGAAACUCAAAGGAAUUGACGGGGGCCCGCACAAGCGGUGGAGCAUGUGGUUUAAUUCGAUGAUACGCGAGGAACCUUACCAGGGCUUAAAUGUAAGUUGCAUUAGUUAGAGAUAGCUAUUUCUUCGGACCACUUACAAGGUGCUGCAUGGUUGUCGUCAGCUCGUGCCGUGAGGUGUCAGGUUAAGUCCUAUAACGAGCGCAACCCCUGUUGUUAGUUGCCAGCGAGUCAUGUCGGGAACUCUAACAAGACUGCCGGUGCAAACCGUGAGGAAGGUGGGGAUGACGUCAAAUCAUCACGGCCCUUACGUCCUGGGCUACACACGUGCUACAAUGGUAGGUACAGAGAGCAGCCACUGGGUGACCAGGAGCGAAUCUAUAAAACCUAUCACAGUUCGGAUCGGAGUCUGC
rnacentral:rRNA from 1 species